rnacentral:snoRNA from 1 species
AGGAGGAUGAUGAAAACAAUCAGACGGAUUCCCAUUGAUUUUUUUCUAUGAGAACAUAACCAGCUACUUCUGACUCUU